GACGAACGCUGGCGGCGUGCUUAACACAUGCAAGUCGAACGAAGUGGCGAACGGGUGAGUAACGCGUAAUCAACCUGCCCUUCAGGGGGGGACAACAGUUGGAAACGACUGCUAAUACCGCAUACUUAAGGAGGGGAUUGCGUCUGAUUGGCUAGUUGGAGGGGUAACGGCCUACCAAGGCGAUGAUCAGUAGACGGGCCGAGCUGAUGAACCGCCACAUUGGGACUGGGACACGGCCCAGCACCCGUCGGGAGGCAGCAGGGGGGAAUCUUCCGCAAUGGACGAAAGUCUGAACGAGCAACGCCGCGUGAGUGAUGACGGCCUUCGGGUUGUAAAGCUCUGUUAAUCGGGACGCGGUACCGGAAUAGAAAGCCACGGCUAACUACGUGCCAGCAGCCGCGGUAAUAC
rnacentral:rRNA from 1 species